rnacentral:rRNA from 1 species
UACGAAGGGGGCUAGCGUUGCUCGGAUUGACUGGGCGUAAAGGGCGCGUAGGCGGUUCGUACAGUCAGACGUGAAAUUCCUGGGCUCAACCUGGGGGCUGCGUUUGAUACGUGCGGACUUGAGUGCGGAAGAGGGUCGUGGAAUUCCCAGUGUAGAGGUGAAAUGCGUAGAGAUCCGGAGGAACACCAGAGGCGAAGGCGGCCUACUGGGUCAGUACUGACGCUGAGCCGCGAAAGCCAGGGGAGCGAACGGG